GGGGAUGAUAAUGACAGUACCUGGAAAAGAAACCCCGGUUAACUCCGUGCCAGCAGCCGCGGUAAUACGGAGGGGGCUAGCGUUGUUCGGAAUUACUGGGCGUAAAGCGUACGUAGGCGGACUAGAAAGUAAGGGGUGAAAUCCCGGGGCUCAACCCCGGAACUGCCUUUGAUACUGCUAGUCUUGAGUUCGAGAGAGGUGAGUGGAAUUCCGAGUGUACAGGUGAAAUUCGUAGAUAUUCGGAGGAACUCCAGUGGCGAAGGCGGCUCACUGGCUCGAUACUGACGCUGAACGUACGAAAGCGUGGGGAGCAAACAGGAUUAGAUACCCUGGUAGUCCACACCGUAAACGAUGAAUGCCAGUCGUCGGGUAACAUGCUAUUCGGUGACACACCUAACGGAUUAAGCAUUCCCGCCCUGGGGGAGUACGGUUCGCAAGAAUUAACACUCAAAGGAAUUGACGG
rnacentral:rRNA from 1 species